rnacentral:lncRNA from 1 species
GCAAAGCGAAAGUGCCUUAAACUCGCUAACAAAACAAAGGUCAGAGACCUAGAGUUGUUUCAGUUCUGCUCUGCAGGCCCAGGAGAUUCAGAACUGAGAAGAUAGCUAGGCUUAACUUCUUGAUGGUUUGAGAAUGAGGGAGGAGAGUGGAGGCAAAGCUGGGUGACGAAAGAGAGGCAUGGGGGAGGAAUUAUUACCCUAGAAACUAACAACAUAAAACUGUCAGGGUCCCAGCAGCUGCAACUCUAGGCCUAAAUGAGGUGAGCUGUCUUGGAGAACUGAAGUUCUGCCCCUUCCCUUCCUGACUUCAACACCACCUACCUCUUCUCUCUGGAGACUAGGCCUGGGGAUUACAUCUUAGACCGGGGACUGUGGAAGUUCAGCUAUGAAGAACUCUUUGGGGAAUCAUUCCCCCACCCCAAGAUUCCCAACUGGAAAUUAACUACUUGCUUGGGAAGAAAUGCAACCGGGGCAAGCUUCAACACCUGGAAGGCUGAGUUCAAGGAAGCCAACUACCCGGGUGGAAGUGAAGAAACCCCAGCAGACAGAGGCCCGCCGCCCACCUGUCAGCGGAGUAAUGAAUGCUUGCUCGGGGCCCUGGGCCCCCCUGGAGUCGUUCAUCACUGCCAGAACCGCCUACCUCUGCCUUCCGCCCGGAGGGCUUUGCGGCCGGGGCUGCAAGACCCUCUCUCCCCCCACCUCGAUCACUAAUUGUCAGAUUGAGAUGUUGAUUUGUCAGCUGGGAGCUAGCGCCAAAGAAUCUGCAGUAAAACCUGG